AAAACUUUAGUAUAAUUUAUUAUUUUAAAUUGCAAAUUUAAAAAUGCUUUCAGCAAGUUU
rnacentral:tRNA from 1 species